rnacentral:rRNA from 1 species
AACGAACGCUGGCGGCAUGCCUAACACAUGCAAGUCGAACGAGAUCUUCGGAUCUAGUGGCGCACGGGUGCGUAACGCGUGGGAAUCUGCCCUUGGGUUCGGAAUAACAGUGAGAAAUUACUGCUAAUACCGGAUGAUGUCUUCGGACCAAAGAUUUAUCGCCCAGGGAUGAGCCCGCGUAGGAUUAGCUAGUUGGUGGGGUAAGGGCCUACCAAGGCGACGAUCCUUAGCUGGUCUGAGAGGAUGAUCAGCCACACUGGGACUGAGACACGGCCCAGAAUCCUCCGGGAGGCAGCAGUGGGGGAUAUUGGACAAUGGGCGAAGGCCUGAUCCAGCAAUGCCGCGUGAGUGACGAAGGCCUUAGGGUUGUAAAGCUCUUUUACCAGGGAUGAUAAUGACAGUACCUGGAGAAUAAGCUCCGGCUAACUCCGUGCCAGCAGCCGCCGUAA